rnacentral:rRNA from 1 species
GAUGAACGCUGGCGGCGUGCCUAAUACAUGCAAGUCGAGCGAACGGACGAGAAGCUUGCUUCUCUGAUGUUAGCGGCGGACGGGUGAGUAACACGUGGAUAACCUACCUAUAAGACUGGGAUAACUUCGGGAAACCGGAGCUAAUACCGGAUAAUAUUUUGAACCGCAUGGUUCAAAAGUGAAAGACGGUCUUGCUGUCACUUAUAGAUGGAUCCGCGCUGCAUUAGCUAGUUGGUAAGGUAACGGCUUACCAAGGCAACGAUGCAUAGCCGACCUGAGAGGGUGAUCGGCCACACUGGAACUGAGACACGGUCCAGACUCCUACGGGAGUCAGCAGUAGGGAAUCUUCCGCAAUGGGCGAAAGCCUGACGGAGCAACGCCGCGUGAGUGAUGAAGGUCUUCGGACCGUAAAACUCUGUUAUUAGGGAAGAACAUAUGUGUAAGUAACUGCGCACAUCUUGACGGUACCUAAUCAGAAAGCCACGGCUAACUACGUG